rnacentral:lncRNA from 1 species
UAGGCAUCGGCGCAGACUGCAAAGUGAACUGCCGGACGCGUCAACACCAGGGCGCUCAGGAGAGAAGCCACCGUCUGUGAGGACAUAGUAAGACUCUAUCUCAGAAAAUAAGAAAAUACGUGAUCGUGAGAGCAGUGCCUGGUUCACAGAAGGGUUUUAUCAUCUAACAAUGGUAUCCGUUUUCUUCAAACCUUCCUUAAUGCACCGGGAGCCUUAAGCAAACUGU